rnacentral:rRNA from 1 species
AUUGAACGCUGGCGGCAGGCCUAACACAUGCAAGUCGAGCGGGGUUUUCGGACCUAGCGGCGGACGGGUGAGUAAUGCGUAGGAAGCUGCCCGAUAGAGGGGGAUACCAGUUGGAAACGACUGUUAAUACCGCAUAAUGUCUACGGACCAAAGUGUGGGACCUUCGGGCCACAUGCUAUCGGAUGCGCCUACGUGGGAUUAGCUAGUUGGUGAGGUAAUGGCUCACCAAGGCGACGAUCCCUAGCUGGUUUGAGAGGAUGAUCAGCCACACUGGAACUGAGACACGGUCCAGACUCCUACGGGAGGCAGCAGUGGGGAAUAUUGGACAAUGGGCGCAAGCCUGAUCCAGCCAUGCCGCGAGUGUGAAGAAGGCCUUCGGGUUGUAAAGCACUUUCAGUAGGGAGGAAGCGUUGUGUGUUAAUAGUACACAGCGUUGACGUUACCUACAGAAGAAGCACCGGCUAACUCUGUGCCAGCCGCCGCCGUAACAC